rnacentral:rRNA from 1 species
GAUGAACGCUGGCGGCGUGCCUAAUACAUGCAAGUCGAGCGAACAGACGAGGAGCUUGCUCCUCUGACGUUAGCGGCGGACGGGUGAGUAACACGUGGAUAACCUACCUAUAAGACUGGGAUAACUUCGGGAAACCGGAGCUAAUACCGGAUAAUAUAUUGAACCGCAUGGUUCAAUAGUGAAAGACGGUUUUGCUGUCACUUAUAGAUGGAUCCGCGCCGCAUUAGCUAGUUGGUAAGGUAACGGCUUACCAAGGCAACGAUGCGUAGCCGACCUGAGAGGGUGAUCGGCCACACUGGAACUGAGACACGGUCCAGACUCCUACGGGAGGCAGCAGUGGGGAAUCUUCCGCAAUGGGCGAAAGCCUGACGGAGCAACGCCGCGUGAGUGAUGAAGGUCUUCGGAUCGUAAAACUCUGUUGUUAGGAAAGAACAAAUGUGUAAGUAACUAUGCACGUCUUGACGGUACCUAAUCAGAAAGCCACGGCUAACUACGUG